GAUGAACGCUGGCGGCGUGCCUAACACAUGCAAGUCGAGCGAACAGACGAGGAUCUUGCUCCUCUGACGUUAGCGGCGGACGGGUGAUGAACACGUGGAUAACCUACCUAUAAGACUGGGAUAACUUCGGGAAACCGGAGCUAAUACCGGAUAAUAUAUUGAACCGCAUGGUUCAAUAGUGAAAGACGGUUUUGCUGUCACUUAUAGAGGGAUCCGCGCCGCAUUGGCUAGUUGGUAAGGUAACGGCUUACCAAGGCAACGAUGCGUAGCCGACCUGAGAGGAUGAUCGGCCACACUGGAACUGAGACACGGUCCAGACUCCUACGGGAGGCAGCAGUAGGGAAUCUUCCGCAAUGGGCGAGAGCCUGACCGAGCCACGCCGCGUGAGUGAUGAAGGUCUUCGGAUCGUAAAACUCUGUUAUUAGGGAAGAACAAAUGUGUAAGUAACUAUGCACGUCUUGACGGUACCUAAUCAAAAAGCCACGGCUAACUACGUG
rnacentral:rRNA from 1 species